GACGAACGCUGGCGGCGUGCUUAACACAUGCAAGUCGAACGAAGUGGCGAACGGGUGAGUAACGCGUAAUCAACCUGCCCUUGAGUGGGGGACACCAGUUGGAACCGACUGCUAUUCCGCCAUACUGAAGCAGGAGAUUGCGUGGGAUUAGCUAGUUGGAGGGGUAAAGGCCCACCAAGGCGAAGAUCAGUAGCCGGGCUGGGAAGAUGAACGGCCACAAUUGGACUGGGGAACGGGCCAGGACUCUACGGGAGGGCACAGUGGGGAAAUAUCCGCAAUGGGCGAAAGUCCGACGAAGCAACGGCGGGGGAGUGAUGACGGCCUUCGGGUUGGAAAGCUCUGUUAAGCGGGAAGCGGUACCGGAAGAGAAAGCCACGGCUAACUACGUGCCAGCCGCCGCGGUAAUUC
rnacentral:rRNA from 1 species